AGCAGCCGCGGUAAUUCCAGCUCCAAUAGCGUAUAUUAAAGUUGUUGCAGUUAAAAAGCUCGUAGUUGAAUUUCGGGAUUGACACAUCGGUCGUGCCUUAAGGGGUAUGAACUGGUGUAGUCAAUUUCUCACCUUCUGGAGAACCGCGAUGCCCUUAAUUGGGUGUCGCGGGGAACCAGGACCUUUACUUUGAAAAAAUUAGAGUGUUUAAAGCAGGCAUUUUGCUUGAAUACAUUAGCAUGGAAUAAUAAAAUAGGACGGCAUGAUUCUAUUUUGUUGGUUUCUAGGAUCACCGUAAUGAUUAAUAGGGAUAGUUGGGGGCAUUAGUAUUCAAUUGUCAGAGGUGAAAUUCUUGGAUUUAUUGAAGACUAACUACUGCGAAAGCAUUUGCCAAGGAUGUUUUCAUUAAUCAAGAACGAAAGUUAGGGGAUCGAAGACGAUCAGAUACCGUCAUAGUCUUAACCAUAAACUAUGCCGACUAGGGAUUGGAUGAUGUUAAUUUUUUAAUGACUCAUUCGGC
rnacentral:misc_RNA from 1 species